rnacentral:rRNA from 1 species
GACGAACGCUGGCGGCGUGCCUAACACAUGCAAGUUGAGCGACGAACCAGGGCUUGCCCUGGGGCAAAGCAGCGAACGGGUGAGUAACACGUGGGUAACCUACCCCGAUAACCGGGACAACCCGAGGAAACUCGGGCUAAUACCGGAUGUGCUCACUGGACUUCGGUUCAGUGCGUAAAGGAAGCUUCGGCCUCCGUAUCGGGAGGGGCCCGCGGCCCAUUAGUUUGUUGGUGAGGUAACGGCUCACCAAGACCGCGAUGGGUAGCUGGUCUGAGAGGACGAUCAGCCACACGGGGACUGAGACACGGCCCAGACUCCUAAGGGAGGCAGCAGUGGGGAAUCUUGCGCAAUGCGGGAAAGCGUGGCGCAGCGACGCCGCGUGGGGGAAGAAGGCCUUCGGGUUGUAAACCCCUUUCAGGAGGGACGAAGGUUCGGCGGUGAAUAGCCGUCCGGACUGACGGUACCUCCACAAGAAGCCCCGGCUAACUACGUG